UUUUUUGCUAAAAUUACAUUGAAAUUUUGUUUUAGAUAUGAUAGAAUAACACAUGGCACCAGGAGACAUUCUGACGAUCCUCUAGAUGAGAUAGCUUUCAGCAUUUGCCAGAAAGAAAUCUACUGGACAGAUCGUCGAAAAAAUUAUUUUUAUUAUGUGCCAAUUUCUUCAAUCUUCCACUCAGUUUGAGUAAUGUGAACAGGAAAAUGACACAUGAGGACAAUACAUCUGCUUGUUAACACGAAGUGUGAAAAAACCCUACGGUGUGGCAAAUAAAUACUUUAUUGAUUUUAAAACUGAAAUGAUUUGAAUCCUUUUCUAGGUAACGCUAAAUUAUGGCCAGCAUUUUAACCUAGAGGGCCUUAAGAACUUUAGGUAAGUGCACUGGUUACUUAGUCAAUUUUUAUUUUGAUACCAGGUCUCCCUGUGUAGCCCAGACUUGCAGAGAUCCUGCCGGGGUUCCUGAGUCCUGCAAGUACAGGUACGCACCCCACGCUCAGCUUCAUCUAAUUAUUCAGUUGGAUGGCCAGGGAAGUCUUGCCUUCAGUGAUUCUCUAGGGGCUGGACUGAGAGACCAUCUCAGUUUCCGAAUGGUAUUUCUCGAGUACUGAGGGCUUCUCAGGUCAGAUCUUCUCUGCGUGACUAACACAUCAACUAGAGAGCUGUGGAAUCUACUACUGGGAAGCCAUUAGGGAGUGAGGACAUAAUCAUUUGUAGGUGUGCAGGGAAGGGAGACAGUAAAAACUGAAAACUACUGUUCCAAUCUAACCAGUGUUGUGCCAAAUAUCACACACAGGUGAGCCUCACCCCAAAGCCCUCUGAGGUCACUCAGCUCAUAUUGACAGUGUUGCUCAAAAACAAAACAGAACAACAACACACAGAGAUACGGAGGCAACAACUGACUGGGGGAUAAGAGUAUUUCUACUUAAAAGGCAUGAGUCAUAAAGAAGUAUUAUGUAAAGAGGCAUUGUUACAUUUAUAAGUCUAUUAGUUCCAAAUUAAUGUGGUGGGAUAGGACUCCAGAUGCAGAGUUAUUAAUUUGUACGCCUAGUAAGAUUAUUUUAAAUUAUAUUUGGAAAAACCCACCAUUAUGAUACUGUCAAAGAAAAAGGGCAAUUAAGAAUGCCACAAAAUAACCCAAGGGAGAGCCCAUGGAUACAAGUAAUCUUGCUGUGUGAGGUUUGAGCAUCAGUGGCAGAGAAGAAACCCUGAAGCCAAGGCUGGGGAAUGUAAUUAGUGAUAGUUCCUCCGUAAAGAUGAUGGAGUAACAGUUAGAGGCAAGAUGACGGGUCUGGUGGAAAUGAGAAUGCCAUAAAUACAAAAAUAAUCCAAUCUACUGCGCCCUCCAUCUUUACUUAUUAUCAUUCUCCCAGGACCAUGCAUGCUGAUUUAAUUUGUGUCCAAAUGAGGAGAAGAAACAUUUCAAAAGAAACAUGAGUUAAGGCUGGGCGUGGUGGUGCACGCCUUUGAUCUGAACACACAGGAGGCAGAGAGGUGAAUGUGAGGCUGGCCUGGUCUACAGAUUCAGGUCCAGGAUAGCCAGGGCUAUACAGAGAGACCCUGUCUUGAAAAAUUAAAAAGAAAAAAAGGAACAUGGUUUUAUUUAGAAGAAUAAGUCACAGGGAAAAAUGAACUUUAUCUCCUAAGAAAUUAAUUUGUCAAAUUUGUCUAAAUACUUAGAAUUUAUACAGGUGGCGAUUCUGAGGAUCAGCUUCAUAGAUCACAAGUUGUUCAGAUGUCUCCUGUGGAAGGGGCUGAUUUUGUGGACCUCACUGAGGACAGAGGGUCCGGUGCUACUCUGUUUUCUGCAGACCAGGGCAACAUCUGUAGCCCAGGUCUCCUUUCUGCACCGUAUGGAUCAACUAGUUUAGUUUCUCUCACUUCACACUGAUCUGUUUUGGUCUUAGCCAACACAUUGGCUGUUGGUCUUAGGUACCAACAGAAAAAAACCAAAACGAUUCCCUUCCUGUUGGAUCAGUGAGAUUUAUAUGCUUACACAAAGGGGAAAGAUAAAACUCUCCCUGAUAUCUUCUGCAGAUCAGGGAAUCGACAACUGCCACAAAGGCCCCAGGAGUGUCAACAGGUGAGACAGAAGAAAAUGCCUGAAUCCAGGCCACUGAGCAACCCUCCAGCAGGCAAGUGUCACCCCAGAAGGAAGAGAGAGGACGAGGAACUUACAUGUACAGGGUUCCACUUCCCGGCCUUCCAGGAUGGCAGGAGGAAGAGAACAGACAACAGAGUCAUUGGGCAUCAUCAUCAACAAAGCCAACAGAGAAACUUUUCUUUAAAAAGAAGAGCCAAUGGGAAGAAAGUAAUUCAGUUUGUGUUUCAAGGUGGUUUUUGGAAGAAAUAGCACUGAUUUUGAUGAAAUCAGAAACAAGUGAUUUCAGAGGAGCCAAAAAUACCCUGACAUUUCUGGGACGUACUGAAGAGAGUGAGUUUUAGCUUACCUUGCCUUUUGAAACAGUUUUGCAAGCUAUUUUUACAAUCAGGUAAGACCAGAAGCAGUUCAACCCUUGUAGUAACAACAGCAGCAGGUUAAAAACCCACCAGGAUGGGUACGGUCCAACGAUCUCCCAACUUUCAAAUAAUGUGGUAUUCAACACCCUGAGGAGGAGAAGAAAGCCAUUACUGAACACAGUGUUUCAUUUUGUCCUCAAAGGAGUCCUACUGAUUUUGAAGGCUCACAAGGUCAAUAGUCUCCCUCAACUGCCUCCUCCCUUCCUGGGGGUACAGCCUGAAAGUUAAGCAAGUCCUGAGGAGUCGUCUGUUACCACAGGGCCCUGACUGUUCCAUAUCGAGUAGUGUAUUUUAACCCAUUCACUGUUUUAAAAACUGUCACUUUUCAAGCGUGCACUUCAGUGGCAUUGCUCUCUUGCAAAACUCAGACCAUGGACCCAUUGAAUAGGAGCUCCCUACUCUCUCUUCCUGAAGCAACUUCUAUUUCCUGCCUCUGUAAGCUGAGCUUCUGGGAUGUUUGUGGAAUCAUAAAAUGGUGGUUAUUGGCUUCUCCCAAGCAGAAUAUCCCUAAGGUUUAUCUAUUUUGCAUAAAUUAUGAAGAGAUCUUUCCUGAAGUAUUUGCCCACACCACUCUUUGUUUACAAAUGUCCACCAGCAGACACUGGCUUGCUCCCAUUCUUUGGCUACGGUAAACAUUGCUUCUAAGACUCUGGGCCCACAAACAUCUAUUCUAGCAUACAUCUUUUGGCUCUCCACCUAGAAGUGAAAUCCCUGAAUCUGUCCAAUGUCCCCUUCACUGUCAUCAUCCAUGGCUUCCUCUAGGAAUUCCAUUCAUCUUUUGGAUUCGAUUUGAUUCUCUAACAACUCAUUGAGAACACCUGCAUGUUUUCCAAGUUGAUUUUAGCUUUCUUAGUGUGAAGACCACCACCCUGUAUUAUACUGCAAGGAAAAAGAAAGGUGGAUCAUUAAAAACAUUAGUUCAGUGGAGACCACAUGCCUCACACAGCAGGGAUUAGAAAAAGCAUGAGAGCCAGGCUUUUAUCUGCAUGGGGCCCCACUAGAGGGCCUUUCAUUUUCUAAUUGCUCCCCUGGGAAAGAACUAACAUUGAAAGACAUCCUUUGAAAGUGAUGCCUUGGUAUUUGAAAGAUUUGUUUCUGACAAAAAUUAUUAGGGUAUAAUAAAUGUAUUUAGUUUUAAAA